CAGUCGCCGCGGUAAUACAGAGGGUGCGAGCGUUAAUCGGAUUUACUGGGCGUAAAGCGUGCGUAGGCGGCUUCUUAAGUCGGAUGUGAAAUCCCUGAGCUUAACUUAGGAAUUGCAUUCGAUACUGGGAAGCUAGAGUAUGGGAGAGGAUGGUAGAAUUCCAGGUGUAGCGGUGAAAUGCGUAGAGAUCUGGAGGAAUACCGAUGGCGAAGGCAGCCAUCUGGCCUAAUACUGACGCUGAGGUACGAAAGCAUGGGGAGCAAACAGGAUUAGAGACCCGAGUAGUCCCUGUCUCUUAUAA
rnacentral:rRNA from 1 species